UCAUUUAAGCCGUGAACUUCAGAGAUUUUGCUCGCGCAAGAAAUUUGUGAUUACGUCAGCGAAAUUUCAAGAUGGUAGUCGCGGCUGCGGCAUCAAAGAAUUGUUUGUUUUUGAUUUGUAUGCUUGAUUGAUUUUAAAUAAAAGAUCUAUUGAAUUGUGAUUAAGGUAUUAUUUUUGGCUUCGGAAAGUUUGACCACGUGCUUGGGAAUUUCAAUCAAGCAGAAACAAGGAAGAAGGAACUUCGCAAGUAUGUCGGUGGCUCUUCAGGGAAAUAUGGAAUCAUUUUAAAAGUUUCGUUUUGCUCAUCCCAGGAUAAUGCUCAAAUAAUCGCGUUCAGAAGUUUUUCUGAACAAACUAAUUGCAUACUCGUAUGGAGGAAUACUUGGUUAACCUUCUAAAAAAACUCGAAUCUUACUUACAUAUUUUUUUUACGAGAUAUGUGAGUCUAAAGUUUGGGAAUUUUCGUGGUCGUUGAAGUCAAUCGAAAAGUCGAAAAAUCAACAUGGUGUCAUUGGCAAUGGAUUAAUAACCUGAUAUUUUUCUAGCAACAACUAAAGCUAAGUUUAAAGUCUUGUUAAUAUGUUCGUGGUAAUGGCUUCAUGAACAAGAUUAAUUUUGUUGUGGUAAUCUUGAACAAGAUAUUCCAAGUCGCGUAUUUUAAUUUGUGCCGCCACAUAUGACUCAAAGCUUUCAUCUGUCAUUGUUUUGUUUUUGAUUGCGGCACUGCCUGCUAUCUUGACAUCCAAGAGAUGACAUUGAUCUUCUAGCAUAUUGAAAAAUUUCAAAUAUGUUCCCAAAGAAAUGUGUAGUGAUGGUAGUGCUACCUGGAGAGAAAUAAUAUGUGAAAGUUAUUUUUGCAUUUUAACUUCCUUUAGUCAAAUUGAAAUUACUAACUUGAUCAAGAGGUAUGUUGAACAUAGCAUCGUCAAUAACAUUAUUGAAGUUUUUUGCGUUACUUAUGUUGCCGCCAGCAUUUCGAAAUCUUGUUAGGUCACUUUUCAGUGAUUCCAAGGUUCGUUUUUUUAUUGUUCCUCUUUUUAAUGGAGGUGUUUUCAUUUCUUUUGAUGUUAUUUCACAAAAAAGGCAGCAAUGACGACCUGUAGAAAAUUUAAUUGAAAUAUUGAGUGAUUGCAACACCAUUUAGAAUAAUUUUUCUUUUUUUUUGAAAGUUACAUACCGCUUGCACCCGUUAUUCCAUAUAUCACACACAAAAAUUCAUAGUCACCGAACAUGAAUACCCUGAUAUUUCUUUGUCUAAAAAAUAUUUAGUAUAUGCAUAAUUCCCUUUUUCAAAUUCAUGAAUUUGCUGCCUUUUUAGCAUUUGUUUUUAACAUUCUAGGAAAUAUAUAUUGUAGUAUAUUUUAGUAUUUUUAUAGUUUUUAUGGUUUUUGCAAUUUUUGAUUACUGUAUGAAAAUAUUUUUUUCAUUGAUACGUCAAUUCUGUAACUCACCUCCAGUCUAAUGUUUGUAGUAAAUCUAUUUGAUCACUGAAUCGCGACAAACCUAGUUUCAAGUUUAUCCUAAAGUCUUUUGCCUCAAAAUAGCUAAACACAACUGUGUUUCCUCUGCUAUUUGGAUGAACUGUGUUACAACAUUGGUAGGACAUCUUAAAUGAUUUUCCUCCAUGGUCUCCUCCGAUUUUCACAUGAAUUUCAUUUUGAUAGGUGCUUCUUUCAACAAACUGAGAAUGUCUAAAUGAAAUUCAGUCCAUGUGUGUUACUUGCAAUGAUACAUUAAUACAAUUUUUAAUAUUGUAAGUUUGAAUUGAAUGUCAAUCUGAUAAUUUGAUAAGUUUACCAUUUUAAAGUUUAAUAGCCAAAAAAGCAACUUCCUACAUAUUGAAAGUUUUAACUUACUCUGUGAGUGCAUCAAGAUAAUACAGAAUAUGUGUAACAACAUCAAUAAGAUAACCCCAUGGUGCAUCCUCAAACAAGAAUUUCCCCUUUUUGUCCUUUGGGAACUGGAAGUUUAUCAUUUCAACAGCUAUAUCUUCACCAGUCCAUUUUUUAGCUAUUUGUCGUUGUUUUGAUUGAGAGUCAACGUUUAUUUUCAAUGAUUUUAGCCACCUGUAAUUUAACACAGAAAAGGAAUACGAAAUUUAUUGAUAAAUUUAUAUAAUAUUAUGCAUUUUUGGCUGUUUUUAGCACAUGACAUAAUUUGAUAAUUUUAAUUUGCUCACCUUCCCAUCUUUUUCAGUUUCUCCCAGGGAAUUCCAAGAUCAACUUUCAUUGCUAUCAUUGUUUCUGCACUUAUAACAGAAGGAAAAACAUCUGCCUGACUCAAAAUUUUCUCUUUAUCUUCUUCAGUGAAGGAUUUUACUAACUUCGAGGUUUGUGUUACCAAUGUCUCAGCACCACCACCUGAAUUAUCAAGCAAUAGCAAAAUUAUGUGCUUAUAUUGUAUUAUGGUUGUAUGACUUGAAAGUUUCCAGUUCAAACUUUUAUGAGUACACUUUUGCUGUAUAUAUGUUAUAUGAAUUCAUUUUUUGAAA